AAGUCGUAACAAGGUUGCCGUAGGUGAACCUGCGGCAGGAUCAUUACUGAUCAAAACAAAAAGUCGAAUUUUUCUUUCUUUCUUUCUUUCGAGAUGGAGCGAGAGAGAUUCGCAACUCGCUUGGUGUGUGGAGAAAAACCCUUUUUUCGUCUUUUCCGUACGAAGAAGGGUCUUCUCUGUGUGGGAAAGUUUUGUCUCACGUACGAAGCUUUUUCCCAACCAGGCACCCACAACAAACCAAACAAACAAAAUAUCGCACCUUCGGUGGAUCACUCGGCUGGUG
rnacentral:misc_RNA from 1 species